rnacentral:rRNA from 1 species
UAGAUCUCCCACCCUUGAAUAUUUUAUACCUUUGUUGCUUUGGCGGGCCGCUUCGGCUACCGGCUUUGGCUGGUGAGUGCCCGCCAGAGGACCCCAAAUUCUGAAUUAUAGUGUCGUCUGAGUACUAUAAAAUAGUUAAAACUUUCAACAACGGAUCUCUUGGUUCUGGCAUCGAUGAAGAACGCAGCGAAAUGCGAUAAGUAAUGUGAAUUGCAGAAUUCAGUGAAUCAUCGAAUCUUUGAACGCACAUUGCGCCCCUUGGUAUUCCGAGGGGCAUGCCUGUUCGAGCGUCAUUAUAACCCCUCAAGCUCAGCUUGGUGUUGGGGCCUGCCGCACGGGCAGCCCUUAAAAUCAGUGGCGGUGCCAUCUGGCUCUAAGCGUAGUAAUUCUUCUCGCUAUAGAGUCACGGUGGAUGCUUGCCAUUAACCCCCAAUUUUCAAUGGUUGACCUCGGAUCAGGUAGGGAUACCCGCUGAACUUAAGCAUAUC